GACGAACGCUGGCGGCGUGCUUAACACAUGCAAGUCGAACGGAAAGGCCCUGCUUUUGUGGGGUGCUCGAGUGGCGAACGGGUGAGUAACACGUGAGUAACCUGCCCUUGACUUUGGGAUAACUUCAGGAAACUGGGGCUAAUACCAGAUAGGAGCUCCUGCUGCAUGGUGGGGGUUGGAAAGUUUCGGCGGUUGGGGAUGGACUCGCGGCUUAUCAGCUUGUUGGUGGGGUAGUGGCUUACCAAGGCUUUGACGGGUAGCCGGCCUGAGAGGGUGACCGGCCACAUUGGGACUGAGGUACGGCCCAGACUCCUACGGGAGGCAGCAGUGGGGAAUAUUGCACAAUGGGCGGAAGCCUGAUGCAGCAACGCCGCGUGCGGGAUGACGGCCUUCGGGUUGUAAACCGCUUUCGCCUGUGACGAAGCGUGAGUGACGGUAAUGGGUAAAGAAGCACCGGCUAACUACGUG
rnacentral:rRNA from 1 species